rnacentral:lncRNA from 1 species
AGUCUUCCACUAGCAGCCUUUGGAUGAAGACAUAGAACUCUCAGCUCCUCCUGUGCCAUGCCUGCCUGGAUACUGCCAUGCUCCCACCUUGAUGAUAAUGGACUGAACCUCUGAACCUGUAAGCCAGCCCCAAUUAAAUGUUUUUUAUAAGACUUGCCUUGGUCAUGGUAUCUGUUCACAGCAGUAAAACUCUAACUAAGACACCAUGAGAAGGUGGCUUUGAGAAGGCCGUGAGGAGGUCGUCGCCAUGCAGGACCACUAUGAGGACUUCAGUGGAGCAGGAGCAGCCAGGUCAUGAUUAAGGUAAUGGGGCACAUGGCUGGGAAGUAGCCAGGCCAGCGUAGUUACAUAUUCCUUUCUGAGAGCGGAAUAAAGGUGUAUACCACUACUGACUAGCUACACAAUUAUAAAGGAUUUUUAAAAUUUGUACGUGCGUGCGUGUGUGUGUGUGUGUGUGUGUGUGUGUGUGUGUGUGUGUGUGUGUGUGGUCUAUGGCCCUCCUAUGGCGGUCAGAAGACAAUAUGCAGGAAUUUGUCUUUUCUUCCACACUGGUUCUGGGGAAAUACAUCCAUUUGUCAAAUUCCAUUUCUUUGUGUACCUUUUGGGUUACUCCCUUCAGAUAAUGGAGUUUAGUUAUGAAAGGACAAAUAAGGCAUUUUCCCAUUUUUUCCCUUGACUUGUUGCCACGUGACAGAAAAAUCCCCUUUUAAAUUUUUUGCUGUUAACAUGGUGUUUCUUGUGAAAUUCUGAAGCUUCUAGCACAUUUCCUGUUUGCCAGAGCCAUCAAGGAGAAGCUAAAAACUAGCAGGUGAUCUUGAGAUGGUUCCACCAUGGAUUAAAAUCUACAAUUUAGGCAAGGCCAAGGAGAACUUCAUUUUAGGAAAGAUUCCUGCUACUAAUAUUUUUUCUGUUAUUAUUAAUAUAUAUAUAACAAUCACUAGGUAUUAGCCCACCCAGUUGAGCAGAUUUCUGCAGAACAACAAAGAUGUAUGUAUCACAUCAGAAGUGAUACCAUAUAGACGACUAAAUGAUUUCUUAAUUCUUGAUGAUCCUGUAAGAAUUUCUCAAGUUUUAGUAGUAAUUAUUAAGCUCUUUUAUUAUAGGACUGUCAUUCAGUCCUUUCUGUUAUCAAAACUGCAAUGAGAACUCUGUCAGCCUUCACGUGUCACCACUUAAUUGCUUCCGAGAUAGCAAGCAGGCAUUUACAACUUGAAGUACAUUCCAAGAGGUUGUAAAACAAUUAACAAAGGGUCAUAAAAAGGGAACUAAGGAUUUACUAUAGGUGCAAGGUUGGAAGAUAAAAUAUUGACUGGGUUUACCUAUACAAAACUUCUCCAUAACUUAGUCACAAAAGUUAUGAUUUUUAGCUCUCCAUGAACCUGUAGAACUAGUGACAGAUAGUGGAUGUUUAGCCAGAUACUUACUCCUAUGGAUAGGCAUGUAAACAUUCUCUGAUUUGAAUUUAUGUGUAAACUUGUGAUGAACUUUUUACCAUGUGAUCAUGUAUUCUAAAAGAUGUCUGAGUGCUAAGGACAAAGAGCCAAGACAACCCUCUUCCCCACUUUUUUCUUAGAGAACUUUCAUAGAAAGCCUUUUAGAACUUAGAAAUAAAGGCUAAAAUCACUUCUCAAACUGUCCCUUCUUCUUCCUGCAACUUCAACUAGCAGGCUGGGUGUUAGAGCUGAGCAGUUCCUGUGGAGAUAGAAACAAAGGCUACUUUACUGAAUCCCCUGCUGUUUUUCAAUGAGGUGCUAAACAAUUUCUUGCUUCAGAGGAACUUCAGGCCAGCUACCGAAGCAAAGUGACUUAAGAUUUAAGAUAGGUAAACAUUUUAUUAUUAUACAGCAACCCUAAAUACCUCAUAAGACCAAGUCUUAACCCGCACUGAUGUUCUCCUUCCACUGCCUCAAGAAGAAGGAACAAGAAAGAACAGCCAGGGCUGGCCUCCAGCAUCACUAAUGACACCUUGAACAGGGACUUCUUGAGGUAAGCCCCAAAAGUCUGUGUGUGUCUCAAAAGAGUUAGGAUCUCAUCCAGGGCCUAGCUAGCCCACUGAUUAGUGAAAAUCAGUUUAGGUCCGGCAAGUAAUCCGAAUCUGUGUGGCCUGAAAGAAGACAACUGGAAAGAAAGCACCCCUGCCUGAAAAGGCAGUGCCCCUUCCACCUGAAAAGAAGGCACCCCGAUUGUUUGCUGCUAAGUAUAAAGCUCUAAAAUGGGAUCUGUGUGUUCAGCCUGAAAGAGGCAUCCAAUAGGUUAUUGAUAAAUACACAGCUGCUUGUCACUUUUAGUGGGAGUUUUAUUGGCUAGUAUUAAGCACUGGCCUGCUAUCUGGUACUGACCCUGUAAACGUAAAUAGUUUGUAGCUACCAACAGAGAUUCCAUCAACUACUGGAAGCACUGAAUUGAAUCAGGAUGGGGCAAAGUAAAAUCUACAGAGAGUUCUUUACAGAUGGUAUUAAUCAUACUCUUAAAGAAACAGGCAUUAAGGUUGGCACUAGCCAGCCGACUGCCUUUCUUCACUUUGUACAGUCAGUCAGUCCUUGGUUUUCAGAAGGGGUAACUGUAGAUGUGCAUACACGGGAGAACUGGUUUACAGAGACUGGAGGAUUCGACAUGCCCCUUACAGUGAUUGCUAUUUGGAAUACGCUUAGGAAGGCACUGGUGGAUGACAAAAAGUCAUAGGUGCUCAGAAGAUACUAGCUUCACCUCCGUCGCUACAGUUUCACUCAGGAUCUAAGAACAAUGUUUAUCCCUCUACAGAAAAGGCUGAAAAAAGAGCUCAGGAGAGGGCAGUGACGCAUCAGAAGAGGAAAAAUAAACAUCAGAGGAGGAAUCUGACUCAGAAAGGAAAUUAACAAAACAUCAUAAAUGUAACUGGCCUACCACGCAGCAUUGAAAUAUAAGCAAUUCCACAAGACCCCCUGAAAAACAUAAAAAGAAAUGGAAGGGGCCUAUCGGGCCUGCUGCUGCCACAAGCCAACCUCAGCUAUAGGGGAAUCUUUGGUUGGGGUUUUUUGUUUGUUUUUGUUUUUUUUGAAACAGGGUUUCUCUGUGUAGCCCUGGCUGUCCUGGAACUCACUCUGUAGACCAGGCUGGCCUCGAACUCAGAAAUCUGCCUGCCUCUAAAACUGUUUUGUUUUUGUUUUAACAGGGAGAAUCUUUAGGUAUGGAUUAGGAUCACUUAGAGGAACCUUUGCAAUUUAAAUUGCUUGGGACUCUUCGUGGUUGGUUUAAAAUGGCCAGAGCCUGCCUAACUCAAGAAGAGUUUUUACUGUGGAUGGAUAUACAUAAGAACUUGGCUCAAAAAGAGUUAUCCAAGAUGUC